GCCCUUGUAGUUCAAUCGGAUAGAACAGUCGCCUCCUAAGCGAUAGAUCCCCGUUCGAUUCGGGGCGAGGGUACAA
rnacentral:tRNA from 2 species